AUGUGGCUGGCAGUUCACGGAAGAUGUCUGACGGCGGAUAACUUAGAGAGAAGGAACUGGCCGUCAAAUGGCACCUGCACACUAUGCUCAUCUGUCCCGGAGACUUGCUCACAUCUUUUUGUGCACUGUGACUUUACCAGGCAGGUUUGGACGAGGUUCAGGGAUUGGACAGGGGCAGAUUUCAUAAUACCGGAGGUCAAUUUCAGUUCUACAGAGGAUUGGUGGCUGAAGGCGAGGGAGGGGAUCCCAAAACCAAUGAAGAAGAACUUCGAUACUAUUGUCAUCCUUCUCCAUUGGAGGAUUUGGAAGGAAAGAAACGCGAGGAUUUUUGACAAUGUCGCUAGCUCGGCUGACAGGGUUCGGGACCUGGUAAUACAGGAUAUCCACACAUGGAGGGCAGCAGGAUGCAUUUGUGACCCGACGACAUGA
rnacentral:rRNA from 1 species